AAAAAGAUAAGCUAAACUUAAGCUAGUGGGUUCAUACCCCAUUUAUAAAGGUAACAUCCCUUUUCUUUUUA
rnacentral:tRNA from 1 species